ACCCCUCGAGAGUGGCGAACGGGUGAGUAAUAUAUCGGAACGUGCCCAGUCGUGGGGGAUAACGUAGCGAAAGUUACGCUAAUACCGCAUACGAUCUCAGGAUGAAAGCGGGGGACCGUAAGGCCUCGCGCGAUUGGAGCGGCCGAUAUCAGAUUAGGUAGUUGGUGGGGUAAAGGCUCACCAAGCCAACGAUCUGUAGCUGGUCUGAGAGGACGACCAGCCACACUGGAACUGAGACACGGUCCAGACUCCUACGGGAGGCAGCAGUGGGGAAUUUUGGACAAUGGACGCAAGUCUGAUCCAGCCAUUCCGCGUGCAGGAUGAAGGCCCUCGGGUUGUAAACUGCUUUUGUACGGAACGAAAAGGUCUCUCUUAAUACGAGGGGCUCAUGACGGUACCGUAAGAAUAAGCACCGGCUAACUACGUGCCAGCAGCCGCGGUAAUACGUAGGGUGCAAGCGUUAAUCGGAAUUACUGGGCGUAAAGCGUGCGCAGGCGGUUAUGUAAGACAGAGGUGAAAUCCCCGGGCUCAACCUGGGAACUGCCUUUGUGACUGCAUAGCUAGGGUACGGUAGAGGGGGAUGGAAUUCCGCGUGUAGCAGUGAAAUGCGUAGAUAUGCGGAGGAACACCGAUGGCGAAGGCAAUCCCCUGGACCUGUACUGACGCUCAUGCACGAAAGCGUGGGGAGCAAACAGGAUUA
rnacentral:rRNA from 1 species